AGGACGAACGCUGGCGGCGUGCUUAACACAUGCAAGUCGAACGGUGAUCCCCUUCGGGGGUGAUCAGUGGCGAACGGGUGAGUAACACGUGAGCAACCUGCCCCUGACUCUGGGAUAACCCCGGGAAACCGGAGCUAAUACCGGAUAUGACGCGCUCGGGCAUCCGAUGCGUGUGGAAAGAUUUAUCGGUCAGGGAUGGGCUCGCGGCCUAUCAGCUUGUUGGUGGGGUAAUGGCCUACCAAGGCGACGACGGGUAGCCGGCCUGAGAGGGCGACCGGCCACACUGGGACUGAGACACGGGCCCAGACUCCUACGGGAGGCAGCAGUGGGGAAUAUUGCGCAAUGGGCGAAAGCCUGACGCAGCGACGCCGCGUGAGGGAUGAAGGCCUUCGGGUUGUAAACCUCUUUCGAGCGAGGGAAGAAGCGAAAGUGACGGUACCUGCAGAAGAGCACCGGCUAACUACGCGCCAGCAGCCGCGGUAA
rnacentral:rRNA from 1 species